rnacentral:lncRNA from 1 species
AUGGGGGGGAUGGGGGCGCCCCUCUCCCCGCGCCCCUCCCACGCCUUCUCCCGCCGCCCCCCCCACGCACCCCCCCGGUGCACCCGCGCCCGGCACCCCCAACCUACAAACCGGGCUCCCCGAGGUCCCCAGCCCCGCAGCCGCCCCAGGAGCCCACGGCCGGGAACUUCUCCCGCAGGCCCAGCGCGGCCCGCUGCUGCCCUCUCACUGCGGGUCCGGGAGAGUCUCUGCGCCCCCCCGCCCCGCGGGGCCCCCCUAAUCGUUGCCAGCCCCCGCGCCGGCCUGGCCACAUCUGGCUGCGCUUUGCUGUCAUCCUCGCCUCUCCGCACCACCUCCCCACCGACGGGAGAAAACAAGGGCCCGCGACAACUCGCCCCAGCCGCCCCCCUGGAGCUGGCGCCCGGCCUCCCCGCUCCACUUACAGCCCGGGACAGGUCUGCGGCCGGGGCGAGGGGGCGCGGGGGCGCGGGGCGCGGGCUCCGCACCCCGAGCCCCCCUCCCGGGACGGGCUGCAAAAAGGGCGAGCGGCCCCCUCCGACCCAAGCUUCCCGGAAACCCCCCAAGGCAGAGCCCACGGUCAGUCCCCCGCGCCCCUGCACGCAGCCUGCGGAAGGCGAGGCCGGACGGACGGACGGACGGGGCCGGAGUCUCGGCGGGAGGCGCGCGGGGCCCGAGGCGCACCCGCACCGAGCUCCCCCGCACCCCCAGCGGCCAGCCCGGGCGGGAGGCGCGGCGCAAACAGGUCCCCGGGGCCCGGCACGGAGGCGGCCAGGUUCGCUCCCGCGGCUCUUACCUCGGUCUGCGAGCGCGCCCCGGGGGCGGGCCGAGCGCGCGGGGGCCGCGCGGGGCGAGGAGCGCGGGGCAGCGGCGACCCCGGCCGGGGAGGGCCGAGGCCGGCCGCGCGGUGCGCACGGGAGGCAGCGCCGCGGCUCGCCGGCCGGACACGGCGCGUCCUCCUGCUCGGCCGCCGCCGCCGCCGCCUCCUGCAGCCAAGCAGCCAGCGCCGGGCGGCUCCGGGGGCUUAGGUCAGCAUCGUCCCGCCGUCUCCCGCACGCCGCUGGCGCCGGGCUCUUGGACACGCGCGCGCAGCCCCGGACCGCACGCGCCCCGAGAGAAAAGCAAAAAAAAAAAAAAAAAAAAAAUUGGAAUCAGAGUGCAAGGGGUGGCGGAGGUUUAAAAAAAAAAAAAAAAAAAGAAGCAGCAGAAGCAGCAGCAGCAGCCCGGCAGAGGCGCGCGGACUUGGGGAGUCCCCUCGGAGCGGCCGCCGCGGGCGGGGCGGGCAGAGGCCGGCGGCGCGAGGCCAACCCCGUCCGGCCGGCGGAGCGGCUCAGCCCGCGGUCCGCGCCGACCCUGCGGCCUCGGGGCGCGCGGCGGCGGCGGCGGCGGCGGCGGCCGGUCCUCGCAUGUCGGGGCUCCGGGCCGGGGAGGCAGGGCGUGCACGGAAGAGCCACGCCACGCACGGCCGCGGACGGAGCGGCCCCCCACGGCCCCGCGGAAUCCUCGGCCACAUUUCUCAGCCUUGGCUCCUCCAGCUCCCUCUGACUUCAAAAGAAGCUCUGAAUGAAGAGGGAGGGCACACAAUAGAAGAAUUGGCCUGAUUAUCCCCUUCUGUUUGGAAAUGG